UUUGUGCCGGGGCAAGCGUGUAGCCCGCAGUAUAGGCAAAUCCGUACUGCAUGAGGGUGAGACGUGAAGCGGAGCCGUUUCAGGCGAAGUCAGUGAUCCCAUGCUGCCGAGAAAAGCCUCUAGCGAGUUUCGAGCGGCCCGUACCCCAAACCGACACAGGUGGUCAGGUAGAGAAUACCGAGGCGAUCGGGCGAACUGUGGUUAAGGAACUCGGCAAAUUGCCCCCGUAACUUCGGGAGAAGGGGGGCCACCGAUGGUGAGACCACAUGCUGGUGGAGCGGUUGGUGGCCGCAGAGACCAGGGGGAAGCGACUGUUUACUAAAAACACAGGUCCAUGCGAAGUCGUAAGACGAUGUAUAUGGACUGACGCCUGCCCGGUGCUGGAACGUUAAGGGGACCUGUUAGUCCGUGAGGGCGAAGCGGAGAACUUAAGCGCCAGUAAACGGCGGUGGUAACUAUAACCAUCCUAAGGUAGCGAAAUUCCUUGUCGGGUAAGUUCCGACCUGCACGAAUGGCGUAACGACUUCCCCACUGUCUCAACCACAGGCCCGGCGAAAUUGCACUACGAGUAAAGAUGCUCGUUACGCGCGGCAGGACGGAAAGACCCCGGGACCUUCACUAUAGCUUGACAUUGGUACUCGGAUUCGAUUGUGUAGGAUAGGUGGGAGCCUGUGAAGCGGCCACGCCAGUGGUUGUGGAGGCAAGCUUGAAAUACCACUCUGUUGGAUUUGGGUAUCUAACUUCGGACCGUGAUCCGGUUCAGGGACAGUGUCUGGUGGGUAGUUUAACUGGGGCGGUUGCCUCCUAAAAUGUAACGGAGGCGCCCAAAGGUUCCCUCAGCCUGGUUGGCAAUCAGGUGUUGAGUGCAAGUGCACAAGGGGGCUUGACUGUGAGACUGACGGGUCGAGCAGGGACGAAAGUCGGGACUAGUGAUCCGGCACUGGCAGGUGGAAGCGGUGUCGCUCAACGGAUAAAAGGUACCCCGGGGAUAACAGGCUGAUCUUCCCCAAGAGUCCAUAUCGACGGGAUGGUUUGGCACCUCGAUGUCGGCUCGUCGCAUCCUGGGGCUGGAGUAGGUCCCAAGGGUUGGGCUGUUCGCCCAUUAAAGCGGUACGCGAGCUGGGUUUAGAACGUCGUGAGACAGUUCGGUCCCUAUCCGCCGCGCGCGUAGGAUACUUGAGAAGGGCUGUCCCUUACGAGAGGACCGGGACGGACGAACCUCUGGUGUGCCAGUUGUUCUGCCAAGAGCACGGCUGGUUGGCUACGUUCGGAAGGGAUAACCGCUGAAAGCAUCUAAGCGGGAAGCUCGCUUCGAGAUGAGGUAUCCCACCCCUUGAGGGUUAAGGCCCCCAGUUAGACCACUGGGUUGAUAGGCCGGAAGUGGAAGCCUGGUAACAGGUUUGAGCUGUCCGGUACUAAUAGGCCGAGGACUUGACCCC
rnacentral:rRNA from 1 species